AAUUCGCGCGCUCGAGCUCUCCCUGGCCGGUGGCGGCGCUCGCAUCUGGUGGCUAACUGAUAGUCCCGAAGUUGCCCCUGUCGCUGUCCACACCCAGCUGAAGCUUGUGGUGAUUUUCGUCUACGCCCAACCCAGUCAGGUUUGUUUCUCCCAGCGACUCACGUUCUCUCAGGGACGAGACAGCGACACCCCCUCCCUACUUGUCACCAUUUUUCAGUUAUCUUACUUUGGUCCUGAUUAGUAUUAUUAUAUAGUUCAACAGUAGCGGUUAAAUGUCACUGCAUAUAUUGCUUCACAAUGUUUGCUGAGUUGCAGACCUAUUGUUUGCUUGUAGCCAACACAUGCUCUGAGCCUCCAAAGUUCCCAAAGUUCAGCCGGGUGCAAAGCCAAGCCAAGCAUGUCAACACCCCAGCCCAACAGCUAGCAAGCAGCAAGGAGUUAUAUCUCAGCUGGCCACCCACCUCGGAAGCGUGAAGAAAUGCAUGCAAGAGGGUGAAAAACAUGAAGUGUGUGGUUCGGGUCAAGUGGGUAUUUUGUAUAAUAGAGCAAACUAUGAAUCUCGGAUACAUCUUUUAGCUACCAUUUUGUGAACCUCUACAUUGUCUUGGGUACUAAACCAUUAUAUUCCUCUCAUUAAUGUGUUUGAUUUUGGUUUAAUACGUCUAGAGGACAUGUGUCACAUGCGCAUUAAUAUGUAAUUGUGUUGAAUUUUUACUGUUAUGAAA